UCAGCUAACACGCAGUUGCUAAC
rnacentral:miRNA from 7 species